rnacentral:rRNA from 1 species
CAGCCGCCGCGGUAAAACGUAGGUGGCAAGCGUUGUCCGGAAUUAUUGGGCGUAAAGGGCUCGCAGGCGGUUUCUUAAGUCUGAUGUGAAAGCCCCCGGCUCAACCGGGGAGGGUCAUUGGAAACUGGGAAACUUGAGUGCAGAAGAGGAGGGUGGAAUUCCACGUGUAGCGGUGAAAUGCGUAGAGAUGUGGAGGAACACCAGUGGCGAAGGCGACUCUCUGGUCUGUAACUGACGCUGAGGAGCGAAAGCGUGGGGAGCAAACAGGAUUAGAGACCCCCGUAGUCCCUGUCUCUUAUAU